GAUGAAGUGCCUGAGUAAAAGGGUUAUCUUGAUAGGAUAAAUUAUAUAAUUAUUUAAUUAUUUUCAUUA
rnacentral:tRNA from 1 species